GCAGAGCAUCCUACGGGAGGCAGCAGUGGGGAAUAUUGCACAAUGGGCGCAAGCCUGAUGCAGCCAUGCCGCGUGUAUGAAGAAGGCCUUCGGGUUGUAAAGUACUUUCAGCAGUGAGGAAGGUGGGUAUGUUAAUAGCAUAUCAUUUGACGUUAGCUGCAGAAGAAGCACCGGCUAACUCCGUGCCAGCAGCCGCGGUAAUACGGAGGGUGCGAGCGUUAAUCGGAAUUACUGGGCGUAAAGCGCAUGCAGGUGGUUUGUUAAGUCAGAUGUGAAAGCCCGGGGCUCAACCUCGGAAUUGCAUUUGAAACUGGCAAACUAGAGUACUGUAGAGGGGGUAGAAUUUCAGGUGUAGCGGUGAAAUGCGUAGAGAUCUGAAGGAAUACCGGUGGCGAAGGCGGCCCCCUGGACAGAUACUGACACUCAGAUGCGAAAGCGUGGGGAGCAAACAGGAUUAGAUACCCUUGUAG
rnacentral:rRNA from 1 species